GGAGGAAGAACUAACAGGAUUCCCCUAGUAACUGCGAGUGAAGCGGGAAAAGCUCAAAUUUGAAAUCUGGUGGUCUUUGACCAUCCGAGUUGUAAUUUAGAGAAGCGUCUUCCGCGCUGGACCGUGCACAAGUCUCCUGGAAUGGAGCGUCGUAGAGGGUGAGAAUCCCGUCUUUGGCAUGGACACACCAGGGCUUUUGUGAUGCGCUCUCGAAGAGUCGAGUUGUUUGGGAAUGCAGCUCAAAAUGGGUGGUGAACUCCAUCUAAAGCUAAAUAUUGGCGAGAGACCGAUAGCGAACAAGUACCGUGAGGGAAAGAUGAAAAGCACUUUGGAAAGAGAGUGAAACAGUACGUGAAAUUGUUGAAAGGGAAACGCUUGAAGUCAGUCGCGUCGACCGAGACUCAGCCUCGCCUCGGCUUGGUGUACUUCUCGGCCGACGGGUCAGCAUCAAUUUUGCCUCUUGGACAAUGGCGGGGGAAAUGUGACACCUUUGCGGUGUGUUAUAGUCUCUCGUCGCAUGCAAGGGUCGGGAUUGAGGAACUCAGCACGCGCCUUCGGGUGUCGGGGCUUUGCCCACGAUACGUGCUUAGGAUGUUGGCGUAAUGGCUUUAAACGACCCGUCUUGAAACACGGACCAAGGAGUCUAACAUGCCUGCGAGUGUUCGGGUGGAAAACCCGUGCGCGCAAUGAAAGUGAAAGUUGGGACCUCUGUCGUGGAGGGCACCGACGCCCGGACCAGACCUUCUGUGACGGCUCUGCGGUAGAGCAUGCAUGUUAGGACCCGAAAGAUGGUGAACUAUGCCUGAAUAGGGUGAAGCCAGAGGAAACUCUGGUGGAGGCUCGUAGCGAUUCUGACGUGCAAAUCGAUCGUCAAAUUUGGGUAUAGGGGCGAAAGACUAAUCGAACCAUCUAGUAGCUGGGUUCCUGCCGAAUUUCCCCUCCCAAGGAA
rnacentral:rRNA from 1 species